rnacentral:misc_RNA from 1 species
AACAUCGCGCACCUGCGGGAACCUGCGGAAGGAUCAUUACCGAGUUAUACAACUCAUCAACCCUGUGAACAUACCUAUAACGUUGCCUCGGCGGGAACAGACGGCCCCGUAACACGGGCCGCCCCCGCCAGAGGACCCCCUAACUCUGUUUCUAUAAUGUUUCUUCUGAGUAAACAAGCAAAUAAAUUAAAACUUUCAGCAACGGAUCU